rnacentral:tRNA from 2 species
GACAGAAGCCGGGAUAGC